rnacentral:rRNA from 1 species
AACGAACGUUAGCGGCGCGCCUAAGACAUGCAAGACGAGCGAGAAAGGGAUUCGUCCCCGGUAAAGCGGCGCACGGGUGAGUAACACGUAGGUCAUCGACCCUCGAGUGGUGGAUAACCCUCCGAAAGGAGGGCUAAUACAGCAUGAUGCUAGCAAUAGCCAAAGCGGGCCUCUUCAUGAAAGCUCGCGCUAGAGGACGAGCCUUCGGCCCACCAGGUAGUUGGCGGAGUAAAAACCCCCCAAGCCAUAGACGGGUAGCUGGUCUGAGAGGAUGAACAGCCACACUGGAACUGAGACACGGUCCGGUCUCCUAGGGCAGGCAGCAGUCGGAAAUCUUCCGCAAUGGGCGAAAGCCUGACGGGGCUACGCCGCGUGAGCGAUGAAGGCCUUCGGGUUGUAAAGCUCUGUGGGGAGAGAAGAAUAAGUUCAGGUCAAUACCCUGAAUGAUGACGGUAUCUCCUUAGCAAGCACCGGCUAACUCUGUGCCAGCCGCCGCCGUAAAAC